rnacentral:rRNA from 1 species
UCAGUUCGGAUUGCAGGCUGCAACUCGCCUGCAUGAAGCUGGAAUUGCUAGUAAUCGCGGAUCAGCAAGCCGCGGUGAAUACGUUCCCGGGCCUUGUACACACCGCCCGUCACACCAUGAGAGUCGGGAACACCCGAAGUCCGUAGUCUAACCGCAAGGGGGGCGCGGCCGAAGGUGGGUCCGGUAAUUGGGGUGAAGUCGUAACAAGGUAUC